GAUGAACGCUGGCGGCGUGCCUAAUACAUGCAAGUCGAGCGAACAGACGAGGAGCUUGCUCCCCUGACGUUAGCGGCGGACGGGUGAGUAACACGUGGAUAACCUACCUAUAAGACUGGGAUAACUUCGGGAAACCGGAGCUAAUACCGGAUAAUAUAUUGAACCGCAUGGUUCAAUAGUGAAAGACGGUUUUGCUGUCACUUAUAGAUGGAUCCGCGCCGCAUUAGCUAGUUGGUAAGGUAACGGCUUACCAAGGCAACGAUGCGUAGCCGACCUGAGAGGGUGAUCGGCCACACUGGAACUGAGACACGGCCCAGACUCCUACGGGAGGCAGCAGUAGGGAAUCUUCGGCAAUGGGCGAAAGCCUGACGGAGCAACGCCGCGUGAGUGAUGAAGGUCUUCGGAUCGUAAAACUCUGUUAUUAGGAAAGAACAAAUGUGUAAGUAACUAUGCACGUCUUGACGGUACCUAAUCAGAAAGCCACGGCUAACUACGUG
rnacentral:rRNA from 1 species